ACGUCACCUCUGUGCUGGGAUCCCCUCUGGUGAGAUCAGCAGCCGAACAUGUCCACGUUCGGUCCACAGAUUAGAUGGUGGCGGUCAGCGGUUGAUGCCUGCGGGCACGCCCUGAUCCAGGUAUAAUCGGUCUCCAUGUCCUUCAUGGAUGAGCAACGUUCCGUAGGUGAACCUGCGGAAGGAUCAUUA
rnacentral:rRNA from 1 species